UUUUUUUGGGGUCAAAUUUGGCUACCUGAUGUGGACCAAUUAUAUGCCAAAGCCAAAAUUUAAAUUUACUUGUGGUUUCUGUCUGUGCAUUUCAUUUUGGAGAGGUCUAUUGAUGUUUUGAAUAUCGUCUUCAAACCAUAUGUUCAAUUCACCUAUUUUUUGGUCAAAAUUGAUGCAUUUUUAGGUUGUUAGAAGCAUGC
rnacentral:misc_RNA from 1 species